rnacentral:rRNA from 1 species
GAAAUAUUAACUGUUUCAUUUAAAUUUUUUUUAGAAUUUUAUUUUUUAGUCAAAAAGCUAAAAUAAAUUUAAAAGACGAGAAGACCCUAUAAAUCUUCAUAUUUUAUUUAUUUUAAUUAUAAAGAUUAUUUUUGUUAUAAUAAAUUAAAAUAUUUUAUUGGGGUGAUAUUAAAAUUUAAAAAACUUUUAAUUUUUAAAACCAUUAAUUUAUGAAUAAUUGAUCCAUUAAUAAUGAUUAAAAAUUUAAGUUACUUUAGGGAUAACAGCGUAAUUUUUUUGGAGAGUUCAUAUCGAUAAAAAAGAUUGCGACCUCGAUGUUGGAUUAAGAUAUAAUUUUGGGUGUAGCCGUUCAAAUUUUAAGUCUGUUCGACUUUUAAAUUCUU